AAAUUAUUUCAAAGUGAUAAAAAACCGAUCCGAGUUUUUCUUCUUUUGUUUUGUUUUUUUUUUUUUUUUUAGCAUUUCAUACUAGACACACGACUGCUUUCGCGCGCAAGGCGCAUAAAUCAAACAGAUGCACUUGAAAAUAUUUAAUAAGAAAGUACACAAAACAUGAAUAGAAAUUCCGAAAUGCUUUUAGGCAAUGAAAGCACGUCAGUAGAACUGAGAAUAUAAAAUUGCAAAACAUAGAUGCAAAAGUACUUUAAACUUUUCUUUACAUGACCUCAUAUCCCUCACGGCAACCACAAGGUUAUAUACUAUGAAUUAAUAUAAACACUGACUACUGAAACAGACAAAUAUUGCUAACAACUGCAAAGCAGACUUCCUCCACUUGCUGAGGUCUCAAUUGAUUAAAAAAAAAAAAAAGUUAUGUUUAGAGAAGAUUUAUAUGCUCAACUACUAAAAGUAUUUGACCUAAAAAGGAAGGGAGAAGGAUUAACAACUCGACUCAAGAAAAGCAGCAAACGUCUGUACGGGCGACAAAAUGCUCACAGAAUGUCUUUUCCACAAGCUAGUGUCUUGAAAUCAAGUAUUCUACUUUCUUUCUCAGUGUUUCUUUGAAGAGAUGACAGGGUCUUUUUUCACAGGAACCCACUCUCCUUUCUUAGGUUGUCGAUAUACAAGCGAGAUGAUGUAGCUCAGCUAUAUGUUCUCUUUCUGUACUUAGCGGAAAGGACUACUUAUGGCGGUCCGUUGUUGAUAAUCGAGAGGAUUUCUUCGAUCUACGAAAUACCCUACACAGCCCUAGAAUAAUUUAUAUAUUGGCUUUUCAAAGAAAGGCAAUAUAUAGGAAGUGGUCGAACAAUUUUUAAUAGCGUUCAUCCUUGGGCCAAAACAAGUCAGUAAAUUUCAUCACAGUAUCUCAAAAAUUGCAGCCUAUACUUUGAACACACAAAUAUAAAACAGACACAUAGACAGACAGAUAAGUUUGGAUUGAUUCAGAAAAUAAUUCUAAAUCGAUCGAUGUGAUAAAAGAUGGUUGUAUUUCAAGUCCUUCCUGGUGCUGCAUUCAUUUCCGCAAACUUAAUAUAUACUUGUGUCAGAAGUGGUGUAGGGUAUAAAAAGUUGGAAAGUAUUAUAUAAGUAACGUGAUGGUCUCUUCAGACGUCAUGAUUUUUCUUAUUUGAACUUUUAUUAGGAUAAGGCAGCAAAGAAUUUUUUUAUAUAACUGCUGCUACCCUACUUGGAUGCGUUUACUCAUGUUGCUACUUACUGUAGCAUUUUUUUUCUAUAUGACCACUCGCAAAGCAAAUGCUGCGUAUACGUGCAACAUGGUGGUAGUCAGUAAGUCGCCACUCUCUAAUGGAUGUAUUUCCAACAGGUACCAGUAAUUCGUUUACCGCCUAACUUGAGAUAAGAAAUGAUUGCUCCCGACUUAACCUUUUUUGUUUUGCUUUUAUUGUUUCUUUAACUUUUUCUAAUAUUUUGCUUUCCUUUCUCCUCAAUUCCAAAAAUUAUCUAAAUUGAUCUUUAAGUUUUUGCAGGUUUAGUACAACACUAACUUGAAGCCGUACUCACGACUUUAUAGCAAGGUGGUAACUUGACAGAAAUACGCAAAUUGAUAUCUCCCUUCACUCUUAUGAUAAAAAAUACAUGUGGAUAAUGAGGGAUAUGACAAAUAUUCCUAUGCAGUGUAAACUUUAGACAGAUAUAAUAGUGAACCUCUUAUGCACAAUAUGUAGGAGAACUUCUACGUAAAAAUUCUUUCGCAUGACUCUCCAAUAUUUGUGACUAAAUAAGUGGAUGUCUUCCGUUCGGUGAAAAGAAUAAGUAAGAAAAUUGUGUUCAGUCGUGACAGAAUCUUUACCCUAAAAAAACACAAGAAAACUAAAUUUUCAUGGUUUAUAAUGUGGAGUGUGGGGCGCAGGUGUUUUAUUUCCUUUUCAAAAUAAAUAAAUUUUUGUGCGGGCGUUACAGACACGUCAUUUUUAAAUUAUUUUGAUAAUUUUUAGGCGAUAUCUUAGUUUUCGCUAACGGAAGAAUGUUUGUCACAGACACUACUACACAGCUGCGCCGACCGACGGAUGGACAGACGACAUGUUUAGGUGCAUUUCAAAUUUGAAAUUGGACAAGAAUUUAUAUGCUUUAUGGGGCUUUUGAAGUUUGUACGUUCGUCUUAUAAAUGUAUUGAAAAAAAUUAAACUUUGGUGUACUGUACGUCAUGAUCAAUUUUUCCUAGUUUUGCACAGGUACUACAGGAUCACCCACAGAGUAUGUGUUUAAAUUUUUGUAGAUUUAGUUGCUAAAAUCCAUGAGCAAUGAGCAAAAAAAAAUUGUUUUCUUCCUUUUGAAAACCAAAGGUAUUCUCAGUUGACGCUCGGGACGUAUCUUUCGAUUGGUUUGGCCCACUUCCAAUACCAACUUGCGCGCAAGAACUUCCAAUGCUUCUGGUAGGUAGAAAGAUGUGUUGUUGCAAAAAGGUCGGAAGUCACAAGAAAUAUGCUUAUAAAAAGUGAACAAUAGACCAAAGGGAGAAUAUCCUGGUUGACAACAGAAGAAAAAACUGAACUAAAGAAGACUGUUUGAAAAGUUUUCUGCACUCCCUUAUACCCACUGAAGACAAUCCCAUUGAUUUUGGAAUCAUCCUUCAACCAGAUAAUGAUCCUAAAUAAUCCUCUCGACUAUGUUAGAAUUUUUUGAACAAGAGAAACGAUGAAAGAAAUUUUAAAAAUCACUUAAUCUUUCUCCCAUCGAACUUGUGAAGGGUGGAAAAUCGAUCUCCUAUGCGCUCGAAAAAAUUUGUGGCAACUAUUAGAACUGUAGAAAGGAAUAAAUUCGUAAGAAAAUUAUUUUAAGAAAUUCAUUAAUAGAAUCUUUAAAAUAUGCGAGAAAGUGGACGUGGUUCCCAUCAGCGAAUUAUAUUCAUUUUGUCAAAUCGUUGACAAUGCCCAGAAGCAAACUUCACCUCGAUUUAAGAAUGUCCGUCCAUCCGUCUGUGCAAUAGCUGUUGCAACCAUUCUCUUGGUCGCAAAAAUGAAGGUAUCAGCUCUAAAUAAAUUUGGCAUGGAAAGUUCUUAGAGUCAGUUUAAUUUGAAAAUCGGCCAAAUUGGCCGAAGGACAUCCUACAGUACUAGGUAAAGUGUGGCCACCUCUGUUUUUCCAAAGGAAGAAAAAAUUAGUUUCUUGCUCAUUACUCAUAAACUACACCUCUACAAGAGUGGAAAAUUCUGUCUCGCCUGCUCCAUUUUGUAGUGAGUCAUAAUUUCAUUUCUCUUUUAAAGCCUUUAUAUAACGAGCAACAACAAGCUUGAAGUGUGUAAAUUCUUGGUCGGUUUCAAAUUUGGAAUGCAUCCCUAAGCAUGUCCCUCAGUUGAUCUGUCCGUCUGUGCAACCGUCUAAUAUUGCGAAAGCCUACAAACUUGACAAAGAAUUUGAAAAUGACUCAAAAAAUUUCCAAAGAACAUGCCUACAAUGCCCGCACGUCAACCACACAAUCACACCUUUGCUUUCCGUCUUUUUUGCUUAUUACACAUAAAGUACAACCGUUACGUGUAAAUUCCCACUUUUAUUUUCAAAAGACAAAAAAAUCAGUCGAGGCCGCCGAAUAUUAUAAAAUAUGAGACAAUGUACUUCUUUCCCUUUUGCUUUUGAGGAUGAUAGGUAUAAAAAAUUCGGUCACGGCCGAACAUAAUUUUUAUACUUGUUAUGUUCAAGUUAGCUUUUAUUUAAUUUUAAAUUUCAUAUCAAUGUCGAGAUGGCUUCUUUCCAUUCUAUUUGAUUUCACGUUGCUGCUUCCAAACUUUUGGACGGUAGUGUAUAUAAAAAUAUUUUCUUUGUUAUAUAUUCAUAUUCACAUUCGAUUCGAAAACAAAUACCUGGCUAAUGUAAGCGUACAGGUUGAUUGAGAUCUUUUAUAUAUAUUUUGAUAGCUCGCUAGACAUUGUUCCUCAUUGCAAUUAUCUAACGGUUACGAAUCACAUCAUAGGGGCCACAAUAACAUCUUCAGUCGAAAGAGGUAAGUAAGUAAGCACCCGGUGACCAGGUUCAUUGCAUAUCACAGAUACGAGCGUAUGCGACAAUGACUGAAUUUAUAGAUUUAUAAUCAUCUUACGCUAAUCAUAAUCGCAUCCCAAUUCCAAUCCUAAUUUUUGUGAAAAGAAAUCACGAAAUUAUUAUACUUCUCUAAGCUAUUAUGCGGCCGAUAGGUAAAAAAAAAUUAUGUAAUUUUUUGAAAGGUUUUGCAUGUAAUGCAAAUGAGUUAAUUGCAUUUAAUGAAUGUCAAGUGUAUUGAUAUCUACACUAUAGUACGUAAUAAUGUCAAUUCGAAGAUGAACAAUUUAUAUCAAUUGCUGGAUAAGAUAAUUGAAGAUAAAAUGAAUGUAUCAAUUGCAAAAGUUACAUAAAUUAAUUUUUUUUUGCUUUUUUUUUGAUUUUGUUUUGUUUCGCUUUGUUUUCACUUUUUAAGGUAGUAAGUAGAGAAAAGCAUUUAGAGAGGGAAUGUAAUAUCAUUAGCACAGCUCAGUAAAUCGUUUAUUUUGAUUGCAUUUUGCGAACAUGUUUAUCCUAAAUUUUAUUUAAAAAAAUCAUUUUAAUCGACUCUACUACUAAAACGGACUGUACGCAUCAUUGAUUUUGGGCCUACCAUAAAAAGCCGUACACCAUUUCGCUUACAGUUAUUCAUAUAAAUAUUUUUCAAAAUGCGGCAGAAAAUGGUCCGAUCCGACCUAUCUUCAACAGAAUCUUUCCUUGGGCCAAAAAACGUCGAUAUACCAAAUCUCGUCAAAAAAACUUAAAUAUUGACACCUUUAUGUUGAACACAAAAUACAAGACCCACGGAUGCACAGAUAAGCAAAUUUAUUAUUAAAAAGUGGAUCUAUUUCAAGUCCUUCUGGGUGCUGUUUACAUCGUUACAAAGAUAGUAUGUGGCGGAUAAUGGCGGGGAUUAUAUUUUGAUGGGUCGCUCAGUGCGCUGAGCAGGCGUUCCGAGAGAUAUCUCAUUUCUUUUCCCGCAUGUCAAAAUAAGUGCAUUAGGGACUCUUACUUUUGAGCCUUAUAUCGGCACAUUUUCGAUCACCAGCAACCAAUCAACCACCAAUUAAUAACAUUCGCCAAAUAAACUUACAUUUGAAAAUAGCUGUGAAGCAAUCAACGAUAAAAACUUAAGGUCUAUUUGCAUUGCUUUUAGUGUUUAUUUGCGUUGCCUUUAGUGUUUAUUUGCAAGCUCCACCAAUCAGCCCAAUGGGCAGACAUUUGUCAUCCAUGUUACCUAUUGUUCGUCUUACAUGUUUUCGGAAACAAAGUAAAAUUGAGAGUCUAUGAACCGCACAUAAGAAACGCCUAAAGUACGCUUAUACUUCGAGAGUAAGUCAAAAGCGUCAGUCAACCGCACAUAAGAGAAGACUAAGUAAGAGGGUGAAGCAAUCCCAUAUAAGAGACAGGUAAGACACAAUUAUCACCCGCGUUUACACCUUACACGAAACUAGAUUCAAAUCGAGUCAGCCAAUCACAUAAAAGGCGCUAAAAACGCAGUUAUUCCUCGUUUUACGCGUUAUUCUUUUUAUACGUUUUCAAAAACAAAUUAAAAGAGUUAGCCGAUCAGACGUAAGAGCCGCCAUAGGUACACUUAUCCGCCUCUUUACGCGUUAUUUAUUUUAUAAGUUUUCCGUAAAAACAUAUGAAAAUUAAAUUCCCAAAGAGAAAACUAGCAUCAAAGAAACAAGUCUGUCUGUCUGUAUGUCUUGUACGGUUCUUUUCAGCUUACAGGUCGCAAUUUCUAAGAUAUUUUGACGAAAUUUGUUAUACUGUUGUGUUCCGGAUGAACGCUAUUGAAAAACGUCCGGAUUUAACCAUUUUCUCAAUUUCCAUAUUAAUGAUCCACUGCCCACUAUAAACUUUUUAGUAGUUUUUGUGGUAUAAAUUUUUUUUAUAUAUUAAUAAAUGCCCUGAAGCUUCUAAAAUAUGGGAAAAAAAUUUUAUUUAAUAUAAAAAAUCUUCACCCAGAAGCUCUGUUUUAGAAAACUACGGGUGUGUUAAUCCUACACCACUGGUAUUAAGUUUGAUUGGACGGUCAUAAUACUCAGAAGUGUUUGAGAUAGAUCCAUCUUUUGUUAUAUCGAUCGUUUCAGGGCCACAGAGAGAGAAUUUGAUCGUCCGUCUGUGUGUCUUAUCCUUUUCGUCUUUAACUCGCUGGUCGCAAUUUUUGACAUAUUUUGAUGAAAAUUGGCUGUCGUGUUUUAGCCCAAGGACGAACGCUAUUAAAAGUGAUUCGGUUUGGACCAUUUUAUCGACCACUUCCCAUAUAAAGAUUUGCUUUGAAAAGCCGUUGUAUGAAUAUGAAUAAAUGCAAGAUAGUGUGUAGGGUAUUUAAUGAUGGGCCGUGGCCCACUAUAGUCUUUUUAUUUGUUUGCUUUGUUCGCAUAAUAAUUUCCUCCAAUAUUAGUAUCCUAUUACACUCUUGUGGCAAACCGCCAGAAAAGCUUUUUUAAUUGUUUUAGUGACUUCGCCUUUGAAAUAUUACGAAAAUAAAUAGAUAGAUAGUCGAAGUUGAUCUUUUUUUUCGUUUCCUUUUUUUUUGAUUUUGGAAAUGUUGUAAGAUCUCAGGACCUGUAAAACGAGUAUACUUAAAUAUUGUAUGCUUGAGGCAUAUUAUUAACUGGUCCAACUCUAAAUUUUUUUAUUUUUUUUUUAUUUUUAGUACGAGCAACCGUUUAGGGGAUAUGUCACUAUUCGUAUACAACCCAGUCAGAAGGGAGAGAGGAAAGAGAAAGUAAUAGGGAGGUGAUGAAAUUUACCACACCUCCAUUCUAACGACAAUGUUGACAGAAAUUUCCAUGCCAGUGUUUGCAAGAGGGUUGCUAUCAAGAUUCCUUCCAAUUUUUGGAAUACGUUUUUGUAGAUCGCCUAAGUGCAGUGCUUCGGCAUUAACAAACCAUUGCGCUAAGGGAAUUCACAGUUCGAUAAAGAGCUUAAGAUGAUCAUGUUAGGUUACCGGAAUAGGGAUGAUGCAUAAAGAAUGAAAGCUGAACGUCACUGAUUCAAAGCUAUACAACAACAAUAUCUGACUCUCGAUCUAUUCGCUAUAUGCCCAAAUGUUUUUUUCCGAAUCAUACUUGAAAGUUGAGAAAAAUAUGCAAAAAAAUUUUAAACAAAUUUCUCUUUUUUUUUUUUUUUUUGGAUCAGAAAAAUUCGCUAUUUUUGAUCAAUUUUUUUCUAUUAUUUUAUCCAUAAAUAUAAAAACUUUCACUUUACGUAAUUAAAUAUCUGCGCAUAAAUUAAAAACAAAAAGUAAAGUUUUUUUUUUUUUUUUAAAUAAAUUCAAAAGUUUUAUGUUAAAUAUUUGUCAAACAACUGAAAAUUGAAGAGAAACAAUAGGCGUCGUAUGUGUCGUGCCGUGUUUUCAUUCAUUCAUUGCUAUGCUAUUGUCAUCAAUUUAUUUGCAAUAGUUUGUUGCUUUGUAUUAUGGUAUAUGAAAUGUAGGUCGCGGUCUGCUCAUAUACUUAAAAAUAAAUCUAAUUGGAAAACGUAAGUGCGUGCGAGGUGUGUACAAAAGAAAAAAAGGUGAUUUCUUAUUUUUCGGGAAAAAUAUAUUUGGUUGGUAUAUAUAUAUAUAUAUAUCUAUUUUGCCCCCUUGAAAAUGGUCUCCUCUCUCAGACAUAAGACACUUGUGCCCGAGCAUUGUCCAAUUCUCGAAGCUCUGCUGAUAUGCCCAUUUUGUUUUUGGGCCUUCAGCGGUUUUUAUCUCCUGAAUCGUAGUAAAACUGCAUUCUUUCAUGGGCCUUUUCAGUUAAGGGAGCAGGAAAGCCUCAGGAGGCAAAGUUCGAAGAAUGCGGCGGCUAUGACAUGAAUACAGUGUGGUUUUCGGCCAAAUAAGGAUGAGUAUAGGCCGGGAGCCUUCAAACUUGCUUGAAGGCCAUCGACCGCAGACAGCGAAAACCCCAGCUUCUCGUGGGUGGCUGAUAGUGUUCAGAAACAUAUUGGACUAUGUUGCGCUUGUAUACAGGUACAUUCAGCGCAAGUGCUCUACGAAGAUAAAAAUUGAAUCGUUCAACAGGACUAUCAAUCGUCCUGGAGUUAUCUGAGUACACCAGAACAUACUACCGUGAAUCUUCGUUUUUUAAACGUACUGCCCGUUUUUGGAACAACCUACUCGACAGUGCUCUUUCCUGCCCUACCUGAUGAUGAAGACGAACGUUCACAAACGUUUCUCCUCUUCUUCACCCCACUCUUCCUAACUCUGACCGUGCCCGCAAAUAUAGGGGAUAGGCUGGUCGUAGAAAAAGAAA